GGCUGCAACUCGCCUGCAUGAAGUCGGAAUUGCUAGUAAUCGUGGAUCAGCAUGCCACGGUGAAUACGUUCCCGGGCUUUGUACACACCGCCCGUCACACCAUGGGAGUCGGUAACACCCGAAGCCUGUAGUCUAACCGCAAGGAGGACGCAGUCGAAGGUGGGAUUGAUGACUGGGGUGAAGUCGUAACAAGGUACC
rnacentral:rRNA from 1 species